rnacentral:snRNA from 1 species
GUGCUUGCUUCAGCAGCACAUAUACCAGAAUUGGAACGAUACAGAGAAGAUUAGCAUGGCCCCCGCGCAAGGAUGACACACAAAUUAGUGAAACAUUCCAUAUUUUU